UAAUCUUUAUUGUUGAAUUGUGUCCUUUAUCUGGAGCUUUCAUCAUGCGCCUAUAAUGAUUCUGAAGUCUAUUCCAGAUUUUAGUUUCUGCUAUUUGCCUGAAUAUUUGAUGCUUGAAUUAUGUACAGUCAUUGAUUGAAAAUCUGGAAGCAAGAUUAUUGAUGUAUACCAAGCAUUUCAGUAUACCAAGCAUUUCAUAGUUAACUCCUUCACAUACUGGUGGUUAAUCAUCAAAGUGUGGAGAAGACGACAGGACGUAAUGAUGGAUUGAUCAAUUUGCGUAGUUUCACAAGUCAGGCUGGUUUACGUCAGUUUUGGCUUUUUUCCUCAAUCUCUCAUUGCUUUAAACUACUUCUUGAUAGGCUGAAUUUUUGUGGAAGGAAAAUUUUACAUAAUUCACAUUCAAAUGAUCCUUAUGUGCUGGAGUCAAAACUGCUUGUUGACUGCUUUUCUCCUGGCUUUAAGUGAAAGAAUAAAACAUAUGAUUUGUUUCUCUUUUUGAUAAAUGAGAAAUCCCCAAGAGCUAGUGGCACACGGUUCGAAACCCGCAAUGUGCGCCUAACCACACAUCAUGCGUUGCACUCUAACCACUACAAUAGAGCCUUGUGAUUGGCAUUUCUGGUCUCCAACUGUAAGGGGUCUUAAAUCUGUAAAGUAAUGUCAUGGUAGGGCAUCUUAUGAUACAUGGAAUAUGGAAGCUUGAUAUAUGUAGAAUCUCCCUCCUGUGCCCGGAGUAAUGUAAAUUAAUGAAAAGAUGAAGGUCAUACUGUUAGCACUUUGUCUGGAUAGAUUUAGAUUUAGCACCAUUUCCUUUCUGUAAUUUCUGAAGGAAUAAAAAAGAAAUAGGAAAACCUUGGUGAUCUGAAGAAUUUGCUUGUCCAAUAUUCUUAGCGUAGAUAUAUUUUCCUGUGCUCUCUGCUUUAUGUUACCGGCAUGACUAAUGUCCUGCCUUAUGUUUUAAAGGAUGAGGAGCAUUAUGAAUCACCUUAAAGGGAACCGUGAUUUUCCUCGUUUACG
rnacentral:lncRNA from 1 species